AAAGUGACAACUGAUUUUAUUAACUGUAUUCAUUAUAACACAUAAUAUGACAGUGGGAAUAUUUUUCACUGUAAGAUUUUUGAAUGGAAGAAAAGUGCAGUUAGUCUGAGUUCCUUACAUUCAUUAGAAGCAAGACUAUUGAAACCAUCAACAUUUACAAUGACACAUAAGCAAACACCAGAAUUAGUGCCAAUAAAUACACAGAGUACCAAAAUAAAUAUUUACAGAAUUAAAAAUAUAAUAAACACUGAUUAGUAUAUCCUUGUGAACUGCCAGGGAAGAAAGACAUCUAUUGCUAUCAGUCAGGUUGUAAGUAGGUGAAGAAUACAGUGAUUUGAGAAGACACAUACUCAUCAAAGUUUGUAGAGGUGGAAAGGAGCAGAGUGUAUCUAACAGUCUGUUACAGAAACACCCCCCGCAGCACUAUGAGCUUUCACUAAAAGAAAGUUGGUGCACACAGACUCACCAGAUUAACAAACUGUUCAGGUAAGAAGAGCAGGGAGUUCUGGCUUUACUCACUCAUUAUCUUGAAUAGGUCAUAUGCUACCUUACUGGAGGUUGCUGACACAAAAAAAUAGGAGGGAAAAUUGUAAUUAACAGUGAUCUGUCAGCUGUAACACCUCUUACAGAAACAGGUUAAGUGACUUUUAAUAGGACACAUCUGUCCCUUUCAGCACACAGGAAACCCCAAGAGCAUUGUUCUGUCAGAGGCAGUGUGGAGCAGUCCCUGCUACAUUUUCCUCAAGCAUAUCAUGAUAUUUAAGCAGAGCUGGGCUGCAGUAAAAGACUGAAGCCAUGCCGUGUCUCCUGGACUUACUGAAUCUGUAUUUUCCACCAACCACAUCCAUUCCUCCUCCCGCAUUUCACAGGGGUACAAGCCUCAACACUAGAGCUUUUCUGAGACAGUCUCGGCUGACAAACACAGCAAGGAAAAUUCAGAUGGGGCCAAAUCAUGGGAUCUUCACUUAAUAACAAUCAACACCACUAAUAGGUCCACUGAUUUCCAAGGGAAUACUGGUGGACUGAAAUAUUGCUCAGCUGUUGAAAUCUGCCCCAUGGCAGAGGAUUUUUACACAAUUUCAAUUUUACACAAAGGCAAUGGCUUUAGUCUUGCUCCUUCUUUUGAAAAGCAGGAGAACAUUGAUUUUAUCAAGACACAUGCUGCAGAAAGUUACUUGCACUCUACCUAGGACUUGGCGGUGCUACUGCACAGUGCAUCUUAUACUCUAUCUCUACUUGUCCUUGGGCUGCAAAGGUGCAGCCAGUGCCCAGCACCCUGCCAAGGGCUUGGGUCUUCGCAUCCCUCUGGCAAAAUGAGGAUGGAAGAGCACUGAGAGGCCAUGGGUCAGUGCUGGACUACGGUGGAUUUGUGGAAGCCUCUGUGCUACAACUACGUUCAGAAGUGAAGGCACUGGGCACUGCUCAGUCACAUUGAAGUCCACCAGCAGAAGAACUGGCUUCAGUACAUGCAGACUCACAUAGUCUGGCUCCUAACUUAGUGUAACACAGUAAUAUUAGCAUCAAUGCAAGAAAAAAAGAGCCAGAUUUUAUAGGCAUAUGUUUAACUCUCUUUCUCCACAGGACCAGCAGUCCAGCCCUUGCUUUCAUCCCAUCUCCCAGCCAGCCUAUCAACCUUCCCACCCCAGCACAGCACCACCACCCUGGCUUCCCCUGCUGCUGUCCCACCUGGCAGAUACCAUAUUGUCCCAGUGACACUGCCUUGCUCCCCCAGUCCAUGGCGUGCAGGUGAGUUGGGGCAGACCUUCUUCCCCUUUGCUGCCACCAGCCAAGAAACAUCACCAGAUGUGUAGCUUUUACAUUUUAAGGUCAGGCUUAAUUCAAAGCAGAUGCAGCAAGUUUUCUUUUAUGAGCACAUUAUGUUCAAAGCUUCCAAUGCAUCUGCAGAAAAAGCCCAUGGAAACAACCUGAUACUGAAAUAGCAACUGUUCUGAUGGAAUAUCAUCCAAAAUAAUAAAAUCCUGUUAAAAAUUUUACCAUUCAGUCCCUACAUACUGUUCUCCCUAAAACCAGAUUUAAAAUGUGGCUAUGUAAUAAUUAAAGGGAGGCAUCAUUAGCUACCAUAUCGAAAGACAUGAACAACAACAUAAUAAGCAGGGGGGUUAGCGCUCUGGGAAGGAUCUGGUCCUGGUUUUGCCAUCACAAGUUAAGUUAAGGAAGCAGUGAUUGUGUUAGCUGUAGUUUAAACAUGCUGAGCACUGGAGUUAUGUGCAGGAGUGGCUGCUUUUUAGAUGGAAAAACAAUGGAAAGACAUGUUUUGCAUUCAGAUCAGUGAAAAUACUAUUCUAGUAAUAUAAAAGACUGCACAAUCACCUGAAUAAUGUUCAUCUUUAAAAAAAAGGAAGACUUAAGAAAUACUUCCUAUUUCCUUAAGGUGAAGGGAUUAAGGACCUUCGCCAGUUCUUACUGGAGUCAGUGGAAGCUCUGCUGCAGCAGAACAGGACCUUGGAAAGAGAUUGUCAUGUUGGCAAAUGCCAGUUUUCUAAUUUUGCAGCCAGCCAUAGCUGGAUUAGCUUCUAUUGCAGAGCAUUGCUUAGAUGUGAUGUUAAAGUAGGCAAAGCAAUCUUCUUUUAGCCAUUGCUACAAGAAGCCUUUCAGCCUGGCAGUUUAAACUCCUUGCCCUGUGAAGUACAUAACCAACUUUGGUUCUAGUUAUUUAAAUACGUACAGAAAGGAAAAAGAAAAGCAGUUCUUAACAAAGAUAAAGAAAAUCUGGGCACAGUUUCCAUAACAAACAGCAUCUGAGCUUUCCUACAAGAGUGAUAUGCUUCCCUGCUAGUUUUGCUAAACUGUCCACAACAGGAAAGUGGAGAGAUAUAAUCCACUCUAUGCAAAAUAUCACUCAACAUCCUCAUCUGCAUGUAUGAGACCACAGAGCAGAGAUCUCCAUUUUAAAUAUCUUAGCAGCUUGUUCUGAAGGUGAAUUAAUUUUUUCAAGACCAAGAAGCAGAAGCAAGGACCUCCUGAAGAACACACUGGCAGCAGCUCCUUUAUUUUAGUGCUGGAAGGCUAGAUCAAAAAUCUCAGUUUCCCAAGCAACUGCAGUAUGGCUGAGAGGGAAUGAGAGACAGAGAGGGAAAAAAAAAGGGGGGUCCCAGGCUACAGUACUCACUGUUUUGGAUAGAGAAGCCCUCUAAGGCGAGAAGAACUUUAACAACCUGCUUUUGCAGGAAUAAAGGCCCCCAGGACGUGGCUUGAGUGUUUAUAGCUCUUAUUCCUUUGCAUAUGAUAAGUUCUUCCAUUUCUCUCUAUGUGAAAUGGACCUAGAAAACACCAAAUGAAUGCUGACCAUUCCUAGCCAAGAUGCUCAGAAGGAAGACAAGAUGUGAGCUCAUGAUGAGCUAAAAAUUCCUGUGAGCCAAAUUAAAAAUGAACUGUCCCCUGAACACAAACAGCAAGACAGAUUCAGAUACCUCCCACUCACAGUGAACAGCACCGGGACUCGUGACAAGGAAAUCCAACCCCUCAAGGGAAGAGAGGGAUGGUCAGUGGGAACCAGUCCCAGGCCACUGAAGACAACUGACAGAUGCAUUGAAUCUCAGACGAGUCAGUUGUUGUGCAAUUCUGCUUGGACACGUGGGGUUAUAUCAUCGUGAUGAAAACAUCAACAAGGCAAAGGCAAAAAAAAAAGGGAAAAGCCAAAACAAUAACAAAAAAACCAACCCUGCAAAAGCUGUCACGUGUAAACUCUGCCAAGACUCAUCUCUGCAUCUCUCUGAGUCGGUGUCAAUUUGUUCUUCCGAGACAGAAGCCUCAGCCUUUCAUAUCAAUAACUGUGAAAAUACAUUUUCAGGCCACCUUGCUUAGAGUCCCCCAUUGUGGCUGUUAGAUAACCAUCUGCCUUGCAAGUGGCUAUUGUUACUGUGAACUGUCUCUUUCAUACCAUUAUCGUGCUGAAAAGGCCUUUCUGAAAGUAGUCCAUUAGAGCAGGAAAAAAAAACAACUCAGAGUAUGGUCAUGUAGCAGAAUCAAUGGUUCCCUUUGAUCUGCAGGCUCAGUACUACAAAUUUGAGAAACAACAAGGUUUUGCUUUGCUAAGCAAAGCCUGUUAAUUUGGCUCAUCUGCACUUACAGCAUCUUACUGAAAAUGCCAUCUGUAUCAUACGUUUUGAAGACUUUGGUGCAAUAUUCGCUUAGCUUAGAUAAAUAAUUCAGUUAGACUCAUUAAAAAAUAAUCAGUGAAUUAAUUUUCAUAGUGUAUAUCUAUGCAUGUAAAUUUUAAAAUUCAGUCCUCUACUACCCUGAAUGGUGGUGAGGAUAUUCACAGUGGAUGAAGGGAAUGCUGGUGAUUGAUGGAACAAGACUGAACAUAGUUUUCUUAUCCUAAUCAUGGAAUUUCUUCUGAAAGCUACUAUGUGUGUUUGAGUCCUAUUACUGGCAAGAGCAAAAUGCAUAUGCACCACAGGGAAAAUAAGACCCUUUAUGUCUGUUGCAGGCCACACAUAUAGUACAGGAAACUUAACUUCUAUCAUGACAAAAGAAGUCCACAAAAACAUCACUUCAUGCAAUUGAAAGGAAAUCUUUUGUGCUGAUAUAUAGAACAGGAAUGUAUACCACUGAAAUCACUGUAGAUAGCUAUAAAACACUACGCAAUAUAUAGAAAAAAACCCUAAGAACAUACAAAGUUUACCAGUAGUGACCUGAAAGUGCAAAGAGUACAUAUAACUAAAUGCCAAGUCCUGAUCUAUAAAAUCCUUUAUCAAUGACAUACAAGCUGAUAAUUACAAAGCAUCAUUGAGACCACAAAAUAACAAACAAAACAAAGAAAAGUACUCUUUAAGAGAAUCAAAACAACAACAGCAUUGGGAAUGUUAUCUUUGGGACUCAGAACACCAUUUCUACCUUGAUACCUACCAAAGGCAAGGAAAAUAUAUGCUUGAACAGGAUAACAUAAAUAGGAAUGCAAACAACCACAGAAUGCCUCAGGACUAUUACCUCUUUAUGUUUCAGCCUUUAAAUCCAGCAAGCCAUUAACUGUUUGUUCUUAGGCAUCUCACAGUAUUUUGCAGGGAUCUUGCAGGAAUUAAAUAUAGGUCUAAAGGAAGCCUUUGAACCUCCUCCCAAUGAUUGUUUUAGGCAUUGUGUGGAGCUAUACAAAUAUAUUUGUAUGAAAAUUGUAAGCCCUAGUAAAUAUUAAAUUUUCUAUCACCUUUUGAAAUAAAAAACACAGAUGGCUUAAAGACAAAAGUGAGUUUUAUAAAUACAAAGUUAAUUUGAGCAUUAAAUUGUAUUUUUACUCUCACACAACCAUUACCCUGAAUCAACGUCAGUAUGUCGCAACGAUUCAUAACACUGACGCCUUACUACAAGCUACUUUCCCAUUCUCCUUUUAAGGAUAUGAUUGUCCUUAAAAUAUAUACAUAGCAAGCAGCCGAACGAACCGCCAAGAGACCUGCAAAGUGUACUUACAUUGGGUAUGCCAUAGAAAGCCUGGGAGUGGGACUGGAGAGUACCUGGCUUGGGCAAGCAUCAAGGCCGCCCUCCCACCCUGCGCUCCCAGCCAGCCC
rnacentral:lncRNA from 1 species